rnacentral:rRNA from 1 species
UACAGAGGUCCCAAGCGUUGUUCGGAUUCACUGGGCGUAAAGGGUGCGUAGGCGGCCGGGUAAGUCUGAUGUGAAAUCCCGCAGCUUAACUGCGGAACGGCAUUGGAUACUAUUCGGCUCGAGGAGUGGAGGGGGGACUGGAAUACUUGGUGUAGCAGUGAAAUGCGUAGAUAUCAAGUGGAACACCAGUGGCGAAGGCGAGUCUCUGGACACUUCCUGACGCUGAUGCACGAAAGCUAGGGGAGCAAACAGG